GUGUUUUUGUGUCUGGAGAUAAUUGAGUUAAUACAGUACAUGACUCAAUUAUCUCCCAGGUACAGAGGAGGGAUUUAUACAAAUAGAAUAGGGGAUGAUCUGCUAAAUGCAAAUUAAAUAGAGAGACAUAGCAUUUAACUGUGUGGGGACUAGUAACAGUGUGCAAUUACAAUUGGUCACUCACAAAUUGUUUGAUGUGAAAAAGCCUUGAAUGAUAUCCUUUUUCUUCAAUAUCCACUGUGUUGUCCCUCCUCACAUGUCAUGGGCAGAUAGG